rnacentral:lncRNA from 1 species
AUGAGCCGAAUGGAUGGAACAACACACCAACUGGUCGGCCGAAAGAGCUGAAUGCCUUUUAAAUAUAUUGAAAAUGACUUGGCGAAACAGUACAAAGAUCGAGUGUGCUUGAUAGCAUACAGACUCGAUUGAUCUAUCUAAAAUUCUACUCCUAUGGAAAAGCGGUAAAUGCAGGAAAGUAAAGGAUUACAGGUAGAUUACUCUUAGAAAAAUGCGAAGAAGUUAUAAGAAAAUAAGGGCGGUCUUCUAUCAUCGGGGAAAAAGACAUUUUUUUAGGGCGUUAUUGGCCUAUUUAUAGACAGCCUUUGUUAAUCAGUUAUUGUUUACUCAUGAUCGGCUACUACCCCUGUUUUCUCGGGCCACUUUCGACCGAUCAGAACCGCUUGUGUAACCACUCGCGGUUACUAUAACUUCCCUUAAUUCGCGCAGUGAUUACUUGGGAUUUCUUCCGAUCUUCCCAGUGCACAAUAAAAUCCUUAUCAUUAAAGAAUAGAGUUGGGUGGAGCACCGGUGUACUACUUGGCCGCGCCUUAUCGGCCCAACACUCUUCCUCUUCCUCUCCCUCUUCAUGCUAGUUUCGAACUCGUAACUAGAAUUUUUCCGUCCCCAUUCAUUUACGACACGUGUUGCUUCGCCUCUAUCGAAUGCAUGUUGCUCCACCAUUCAAUUUCCUAAAGUGAGAGAAGAGAUUGCAAUAAGGGUGGAUUGGAUUGGGUUAUAAAAAGAAAGAAGAUGACCAAUAGAAAUUUUUUAAGGAUAUUUCUGUACUAUUAUAGCAGUUGGAAUUUUUAGAGGAACAUAUCUGUAAUGACAAAAUUGAUAUUUUAUUUAUCUGCUGUUAAAAACUACACAGUUCUCUAACACUCCGUUUGGAAUGGGUACAAGAGGAGGGAUAACCAAACACAAUUUGGGGUGUAGAACACUUGUUCCACCCCAACCUAGUACAAGGGGUGUCCUUGUACCAGGGUGGAACAAGUGUUCCACCCCAAGGGGUGGAACAAGGGGUGGAACACUUGUUCCACCCCUCCCGGGUGGAGAGAGAGAAAGAGAGAGAGAAAGAGAGAUAUCUUUAAUUUAAAUUUAAAUUUCUAAAAUUUAUAAUUUAGUUUUUUAAAAUUUAAAUUUAUAAUUUUAAAUUAUAAAUUUGAUAUUUGUAAUUUUUAAAUUUUAAAUUUAAUUUUUUAGAUUUAAAAUUUAAAAUUUUAUAUUUUAUAUCUUUCAAAUUUAAAUUUAAUCUUAAAUUUAAAAUUUUAUAUUUAAAAUUUGAAAUUUGAAAAUUAUAAGUUUUAAUUUUAAUUUCAAAUUUUAAAAUUUAAAAGUUAAAAUUUUUAAUUUAAAAUUAUUAGUUUAAAAUGUUAAAUUCAAUUAUAGAGGUAAAAUUAUUAUUUUCUAUCUAUAACUGCCAACUAUUCCACCUUAUACUCAGAUUUUCAUCCAAACACAAUUUUUCUAGUUCCAGCUUAUAUUCACAUUUUCAUCCAAACAAAAAAAUACCCUUAUUUCUACGAAAAUCCAUUCUUGUACCUAUCCCCGGUAUAACUAGUUCUUGCUUAUAUCCGAACCAAACGAAGCUUGGUAACAAAUCAGAGGGACAAAUAUAAAUAUCACUCGACUUUUACAAAAAUAAGAGUUAAAAAGUUGAAUUUUGUAGGGAUAUAUUUAUUAUUCGUUAUAUUUACAGGGAGUUGUAUGCAAUUAAUUCAAAAAAAGGAAAAUUUUCAAAUACCACCUAGUGGUUUCGCACUUUUCACUUUAGUACCCUGUGUUUUAAAGUAUAUCAAGUUAGUACCAUGUGAUUUCGCACUUUCUCACUUUAGUACCAUGUGGUUUAAAGUGCAUCAAUUUAGUACCAUGUGGUUUCUUCUUCUUUUUUUUUCGUCGGCUCCUCUGUUAAUAUUUCGUUAAAUUAUAGACAAAACUUCAGAUACCCUACCUAAAUUUAACGAAUAUUUAUUUUAGUACCUUUAGUUUUAACUUUGUCAUUGAUAUUUUUUCCUCCGUUAAUAUUCGUUAAAUUAUAUACAAAAAAAUUCAGAUACCCUAUCUAGAUUUUUCGAAUAUUCACUUUAGUACUCUUUAAUUUUAACUUUGUUACUGAUUUAACGAAAAAAUAGUGAAAUAGAAAAUAAAAAGAAAAAAAUGAAACCACAGGGUACUAACUUAAUACACUUUAAACCACAGAGUACUAAAGUAAAAAAGUGCAAAACCACAUGGACUAAUUUGAUACACUUUAAAUUAUAGAGUACUGAAGUAAG